rnacentral:rRNA from 1 species
UAAUAAGUGUUUAUGGCACUUUCAAUCCAUAUCCACCUUGUGUGCAAUGUCAGCCCUGAUCACAUCCAGCAGAUUCUUUCUGUUUUGGGUGUGAAAAAGGUUUCCAUUUAUCCCACGGUUUUUUUUUCAGUCUAUAUUCUUUGAGUAAAAACGAAACUCAAAUACAACUUUCAACAACGGAUCUCUUGGCUCUCGCAUCGAUGAAGAACGCAGCGAAAUGCGAUACGUAAUGUGAAUUGCAGAAUUCAGUGAAUCAUCGAAUCUUUGAACGCACAUUGCGCCUUCUGGUAUUCCGGGAGGCAUGCUUGUUUGAGUAUCAGUUAAACACCUCGACUUUUCUCCCCUCUGGGCGUAAGUUGGAAUUGAGCAGUUUUUUCCCCAAACUCCUUUGAGGAUGUGCGGGAUGCUUAAAAUGCAGGUGCAGCUGGAUCCCUUUCAUUAUCCCUAGGCUACAAGCAUUUCUGCUUAGUCCGGUCAACCGGAUUAUACCUUUUGCUGCAGCCAAGCGCGAUAGUAAAAAUGAUCGGGAACCUUUUUUACGCUGACUGAUGCAGGAUUUUGACAGAUUUAAAAUCUGUUCCACUCGAUCUCAAACAAGUAAGAC